GCUGAAAUAAAACAGGGCUACCAAUAUUAUUUCGAACGUUCUAGUGGCGUACAUGGUGUUAUCGCGGUGUUUCAAUGCUAUAUACUCGCGAGAUAUUAUGAAGGGGGCGUAUGCUCACAAUGUACAGUCUGUCUAAUGACGUAGCAAGCCUUUUUGCCAUGUAUAACUUACAGUCUGGUCUAAAAUAACUCAUGAUAAAAACCGAGUCCACAGAAUGUCAGAUGAAGAGAUUCCUUCAACUUCCAGAGAGCCUGUACCCGAAGAAGAAGAGCUGAAGCCACCGGUGAAGGCUGUGCCCAAGGCGGAGGGAGAGUUGGAUCCAGAGUAUGAGGAGAAAAGGAAAACAGAUAGAGCGAACCGGUUUGAGUUUCUGCUCAAGCAAACAGAACUCUUUGCCCACUUCAUCCAGCCUGCAUCUCAGAAGUCUCCUACUUCACCCCUGAAAGUCAAACCUGGACGACCUCGCGUUAAACAGGAUGAGAAACAAAAUCUCCUCUCUGUUGGAGAUAACCGCCACCGACGCACGGAACAAGAAGAAGAUGAGGAGUUGUUAUCUGAGAGCAGGAAGGCAGCUAAUGUCUUGGUUCGCUUUGAAGAGUCCCCAUCCUAUGUGAAAAAUGGAGAGCUGAGAGAUUAUCAAGUCAGAGGUCUCAACUGGAUGAUCUCCCUUUAUGAAAAUGGCAUUAAUGGAAUCCUGGCUGAUGAAAUGGGCUUGGGGAAGACCCUCCAAACCAUUGCAUUGUUGGGAUACCUGAAGCACUACAGGAACAUUCCAGGCCCCCACAUGGUUCUGGUUCCCAAAUCAACGCUACACAACUGGAUGAAUGAGUUCAAACGCUGGGUACCAACCCUGAAGGCUGUCUGUCUUAUUGGGGACAAGGAUGCAAGAGCGGCGUUCAUCCGCGAUGUCAUGAUGCCAGGGGAAUGGGAUGUUUGUGUCACAUCCUAUGAGAUGGUCAUCAGAGAGAAAUCGGUCUUCAAGAAGUUCAACUGGAGAUACCUUGUCAUCGACGAAGCUCACAGGAUAAAAAAUGAGAAGUCCAAGCUCUCAGAGAUUGUCCGUGAGUUCAAAACCACCAACCGUCUCCUCCUGACUGGAACACCUCUGCAGAACAACCUCCAUGAGCUGUGGUCACUCCUCAACUUCCUGCUACCUGAUGUCUUCAACUCUGCCAAUGACUUUGAUUCUUGGUUUGACACCAACAACUGUCUGGGGGACCAGAAGCUGGUGGAGCGUCUGCAUGCGGUGCUGAGGCCUUUCCUUCUGCGUCGGAUAAAAGCUGAAGUGGAGAAAAACCUGCCUCCCAAAAAAGAGGUGAAGAUUUACCUCGGACUGAGUAAGAUGCAGCGAGAAUGGUACACACGAAUUCUGAUGAAAGACAUUGACAUCCUCAAUUCUUCUGGAAAAACGGACAAGAUGCGUCUGUUGAAUAUCUUGAUGCAACUGCGGAAGUGCUGCAACCACCCAUACCUGUUUGACGGGGCCGAGCCCGGGCCCCCCUACACUACCGACAGUCACUUGGUCACCAACAGUGGCAAGAUGGUGGCCCUGGAUAAACUGCUGCCCAAAGUCCAGGAACAAGGGUCUAGAGUCCUCAUCUUCAGCCAGAUGACCAGGGUCCUUGACAUCCUUGAGGACUACUGCAUGUGGAGAGGUUAUGAGUACUGCCGUCUAGAUGGAAACACUCCACACGAAGCCAGACAGGACGCCAUAGAGGCCUACAAUGCUGAAAACAGCAGCAAGUUCAUUUUCAUGUUGAGCACCAGAGCUGGAGGUCUGGGCAUUAACCUGGCAACUGCAGACGUCGUCAUCCUGUAUGACUCUGACUGGAACCCUCAAGUGGACCUGCAAGCAAUGGACAGGGCUCAUAGGAUUGGUCAGAAGAAACCAGUGCGUGUGUUCCGCCUCAUCACUGAUAAUACAGUCGAAGAGAGGAUUGUAGAAAGAGCUGAGAUGAAGUUGAGGCUAGACUCCAUAGUUAUACAACAAGGGAGGCUGAUGGAGCAGUCCAACAAGCUGGGGAAAGAUGAGAUGCUGCAGAUGAUCAGGCAUGGGGCCACUCACGUCUUCGCCUCCAAAGACAAUGAGCUCACAGACGAAGACAUCAACACUAUCUUAGAGAGGGGGGCAAAGAAGACGGCUGAGAUGAACGAGCGCAUGGAGUCUCUGGGAGAGAGCUCCCUCAGGAACUUCACGGUGGACACAGGAGGAGCAGAGACCAGCCUCUACAACUUUGAAGGGGAGGACUACAGAGAGAAGCAAAAGCUGAGUAUGAUGGAAUGGAUCGAGCCUCCUAAAAGAGAGAGGAAAGCCAACUAUGCGGUGGAUGCCUACUUCAGAGAAGCCCUGCGUGUCAGUGAACCUCGAGCCCCCAAGGCCCCACGUCCCCCCAAACAGCCCAACAUACAGGACUUCCAGUUCUUUCCUCCUCGCCUGUUUGAGCUGCUGGAGAUGGAGAUCCUUUAUUACAGGAAGACUAUUGGCUACAAGGUCCCCAGGAGCCCUGACAUUCCCAACGCUGCCCAGGUGCAGAAGGAGGAGCAGAGGAAGAUUGACGAGGCGGGGCCCCUCAGUCCCGAGGAGACUGAGGAGAAGGAGAAACUACUCACACAGGGGUUCACAAGUUGGAACAAGCGAGAUUUCAAUCAGUUCAUUAAAGCCAAUGAGAAAUACGGCCGUGAUGACAUCGACAACAUUGCUCGGGAAGUCGAGGGGAAAAACCCUGAGGAAGUCAUUGAAUAUUCUGCCAUUUUCUGGGAGCGGUGCAAUGAACUCCAGGAUAUUGAAAAAAUCAUGGCUCAGAUCGAGCGUGGUGAGGCCCGCAUCCAGAGGAGGAUCAGCAUUAAGAAGGCGCUGGAUGCUAAGAUUGCGAGAUACAAGGCCCCAUUCCACCAGUUGAGGAUUCAGUAUGGCACCAAUAAAGGGAAGAACUACACGGAGGAGGAGGACAGGUUCCUGAUCUGUAUGCUCCACAAGAUGGGCUUUGACAAGGAGAAUGUUUAUGAAGAACUCCGACAGUGUGUCCGGAAUGCUCCCCAGUUCAGAUUCGACUGGUUCAUCAAGUCCCGAACUGCCAUGACUUUGCGGCGCAGCAGAAAGAUCAGCACACCCGAAAUCCAGAGGUUGAGAUUUCAAAACCCAGGAACUUCAGCGACGCUGUAACACUCUCAUCUCCCUCAUCGAAAAAGAAAAUAUGGAGAUUGAGGAAAAGGAACGUGCUGAAAAGAAGAAAAGGACCACAAAAAGCCAGAUGGCUCACAAAAGGAAGGCAGAUGCGUCAUCAGAAGCCACAGGACGCAAAGAGAAGAAAGCCAGAGCCUGAAGACGUCAUUGAACUAAUGUAGCUCCCAUCAUGAACAAACAGCAUUCAUUACCCACAAAAAAAAUACAAACACAACAUUCAAUAGCUGUAGUAAUUUCUGUGGAAGUGAGUGGUUUCUCAUUUUUAAGACAUUUUGUAUUGCUGUUUUUGCAAGUGUUUGAUGCACUUUUCAACUCAACAUGCUAUAUACGUAUGUAAGGAUUUGUUUUGAUUGUUGUCUCAUGUCUUGUGUAAUUGGUGGUGAAAUAACGAUGGCUGUUGUUUAAGCUAUGUGUUUGACACAUUGUUAUUAUGCUUCAUUAAGUGGUUCCCCUUAUGCACUUUAUAUAACCUAUUGCUUUGCACAUAUCCUAAGCUCUUUUAUAUUUAGUUUAAUUUCAUCUAUCCUUUUAAGCUGUGUUGGUAUUUGAACAAAAAGUGAUUGUUGUAUUUCGCUUUUCCUGUUGUAUUUUCUUAUGUGUCAGUUCACUUAUUAAACAAAAUCCAACCUUAA